rnacentral:rRNA from 1 species
UACGUAGGGGGCAAGCGUUGUCCGGAAUCAUUGGGCGUAAAGAGCGUGUAGGCGGCCUGGUAAGUCCGCUGUGAAAGUCCAGGGCUCAACCCUGGAAUGCCGGUGGAAACUGUCAGGCUCGAGUCCGGAAGAGGCGAGUGGAAUUCCUGGUGUAGCGGUGAAAUGCGCAGAUAUCAGGAGGAACACCAAUGGCGAAGGCAGACUCGCUGGGACGGUACUGACGCUGAGACGCGAAGCGUGGGAGCAAACAGG